rnacentral:tRNA from 1 species
GGUGGAUUAGCUCAGUGGCUAGAGCUUAGGUGUUGUGACCAGAAGGUCCCGGGAUCGAAUCUCGCAAGUAGCG